UACGUAGGGGGCAAGCGUUGUCCGGAAUCAUUGGGCGUAAAGCGCGUGUAGGCGGCCCGAUAAGUCCGCUGUGAAAGUCCAGGGCUCAACCCUGGGGUGCCGGUGGAUACUGUCGGGCUCGAGUCCGGAAGAGGCGAGUGGAAUUCCUGGUGUAGCGGUGAAAUGCGUAGAUAUCGUAAGGAAGACCAGUGGCGAAGGCGGGUCUCUGGACAGUUCCUGACGCUGAGGCACGAAAGCGUGGGGAUCAAACAGG
rnacentral:rRNA from 1 species